rnacentral:lncRNA from 1 species
UGUGUUUGUUUAUAUACUUUUUUAUUUAUUUCCGCAAUAGCAGCAGUAUCAACUGCAGUACCACCAGCAACAAUAUCUGCAGGACCAUCAGCAUCGCAUCAAGAUUUCCUGCGAUAUCGCUCCCAGCACCCAGG